GACCUCUGACCUGAGGGGCUGGGAAGGAUUUACACCCAAGAAGCAGGCCCAGAACUGGGUUCAGACUCAGUCCACAUGACGCAGCCAGUCGUUUCUGUUCUUCCUGUUCAGAUGAAGUGAUGCUAAAGCAGCUACGCUAACCUCAAGGAACCGCCAUUGUUGUUUUCAGUCACUUCGCUUCUCGCCGUCGUCGCGCCUAAACCUGCUAAUAGCUGCCAGUAGUUCUUCAUAGGACACGGAUCGGUCCAGACCGCGUAACCUGAAGCCUGUCAGUCUCUUAGUGAAUCUGUCCUGAGCGGACAGGGUGUCGGGCUCUCAGCUCAGACUGAGUCUGUGACGGACCCCUGUCCCGACCCCCGUGUAUAUAUGUAGACCAGCUGCAGAUCCCACUCUGCCCUGCAGUUGAAAUCUUGUGACCUCUCUCUGACACCAGGUGUGUAAAAAUUACAGGUUAUUAAUGAAGUGAAGAGAUGAUCAGUCAUGGGUUCGCACACAGGUCAGCAGCUGACUGGUGCUGGGCGGCUCGCUAUAAAAGCUCCGCCUACUGACCAAUCAGCUGUCUGAGAACAUGACGUCACCGUCUGUACACAGCCUGUAAACAGACAGCGUUUCCCGUAGCGUUGAACUACGUUGUUACGAUGCAUCAUUAAACUAACCAGCAGUUGAAAACGUUCGGACCAACGUGGCUCCAGGUGCGUUCGGUUCCAGGUGCGUUCGGACCAACGUGGUUCCAGGUGCGUUCGGACCAACGUGGUUCCAGGUGCGUUCGUACCAACGUGGUUCCAGGUGCGUUCGGUUCCAGGUGCGUUCGUCUGACUCUCACAGCAGGAAACUCACCCAACGUCUUCACAUCCUGCCUGAAUGUGUCAGCUGUGACAUUAUUAUGCUAACUUUUCAUUUUAUAGAAACGAGAAAAUCAACAAUAUAAAUAAAAUAAGCUGAUGA